AUUGAACGCUGGCGGCAGGCCUAACACAUGCAAGUCGAACGGUCACAGGAAGCGGUUUGCUGCUUUGCUGACGCGUGGCGGACGGGUGAGUCAUGUCUGUGACCCUGCUUGAUGGCGGGGGAAACCUCCUGAAACCGGUAGCUAAUACCGCAUAUCGUCGCAACACCAUGGUGGAGGACCUAAGGGCCUCUUGCCUUCGGAUGUGAGCAGAUGGCAUUAGCUAGUAGGUGGGGUAACGGCUCACCUAGGCGACGAUCCCUAGCUGGUCUGAGAGGAUGACCAGCCACACUGGAACUGAGACACGGUCCAGACUCCUACGGGAGGCAGCAGUAGGGAAUAUUGCGCAAUGGGCGAAAGCCUGAUGGAGCCAUGCCGCGUGUAUGAUGAAGGUCUUCGGGUUGUAAAAUACUGUCAUCAGGGAAGAAGAGAGGUGAAAGUAUAUCUUCACUCAUUGACGUUACCCGCACAGGAAGCACCGGCUAACUCCGUG
rnacentral:rRNA from 1 species